rnacentral:rRNA from 1 species
AGUGAACGCUGGCGGUAGGCCUAACACAUGCAAGUCGAACGGCAGCACAGGAGAGCUUGCUCUCUGGGUGGCGAGUGGCGGACGGGUGAGGAAUACAUCGGAAUCUACCUUUUCGUGGGGGAUAACGUAGGGAAACUUACGCUAAUACCGCAUACGACCUACGGGUGAAAGUGGGGGACCGCAAGGCCUUACGCGAUUAGAUGAGCCGAUGUCCGAUUAGCUAGUUGGCGGGGUAAUGGCCAACCAAGGCGACGAUCGGUAGCUGGUCUGAGAGGAUGAUCAGCCACACUGGAACUGAGACACGGUCCAGACUCCUACGGGAGGCAGCAGUGGGGAAUAUUGGACAAUGGGCGCAAGCCUGAUCCAGCCAUACCGCGUGGGUGAAGAAGGCCUUCGGGUUGUAAAGCCCUUUUGUUGGGAAAGAAAUCCUAUCGGUUAAUAACCGGUGGGGAUGACGGUACCCAAAGAAUAAGCACCGGCUAACUUCGUGCCAGCCGCCGCAGUAACAC